CUCCAGCCCCCGCCAGCGUAUCUCCAGGCUGUGCAAGUCGGGUCUGUUGUGCCCAGGGGUGUCCCUCACUUGCGAGCUUUCUUCCCGGGACCUCCCUAGGAGCCGCGCCCCCUGAAGUCCAGAACCUCGUAGGCAGGUACCAUGACCUAUAAGACCUGCAGGGGCUCUGGAGGAGCCAUGAUUCGUGCAGAAACCCUGGUGUAGUAGUAGGGGGUGGGGGAGACUGUGGCAAAGUUAGGGGGCAUGUGCCCCUUGUAUUCACAAAUGUAGCUUUGCAAGAUGACAGUGCGCAGAAAUUCUCCGGAUCCUCAGACCUGUAUCUUCCCGCUAGCUAUGCUCACAGUCGGUAAACACAGGUGUCCUCCACUUUUUGAAAGUUUGCAUCACACCCCUUUGCUGUUACUAGAGACCUGCAUUACUACCCAUUAUUGCUAACAGAGAAAUCUGAAGCGGAUUUUCACUUUUAUGUAAAAAGGUGAACAGUGAAAAUACAGUGUUCAGCGUUCAUUUUGCAGUGAGCCGUUACGGAGGGGUGCGUACCCUCAGCAGAGAGUGGCCCUGCGCGCUCCUUCCCCAAGAACCAUACUCGGCAUCUCAGCGUCAAGCCACCAGAGCUCUGAACUGUGUCUGUGGACGUCUGUGUUUUGUCUCAAUUUAUUUCGUGCAUCUGUUAGCAAGAUGUGUCCUAAGGUUGGAGAUUUCUACUGUUCUCUCUUCCAGUUCACCAGUUCUCCCCUUUCCUGUUCUGCUGUGGAGCCACCCGCUGUGUCCACCAGAUCCUUUCCUUCCUGUGCGUGGUUCAGACUCCUCCAAGUGUGCUGCCCUCAAAGGAGGCUCUUCAAAGGUCUGUAUGCUCCUUGAUGCAGCCUGAACUCCAGUUACUCCACAGCCUAGUGACAGUGCCUGAAGCUCUGCUUGGCUUCUCAGACUCUUGGCUUUUAUUGUCUCCAUGGCCUGUCAGCCCAUGGGCUGCUGUUGGCACAUAAGCAAUCACUUUGAAGAGAUAAGUGAUGAAGAGUGUCGGGGUCACUUCUGUGCAUUCUUCUUGUCUCUCAAGGUCCUCACGCUUUGGCUAAAUAAGUACC